UAAGGAGGAGCUAUGAAGUGAAUGAGGGGACCAGCAUGGGCUUUGAUGAUUUUUUCCAAAGCUGAAGCCCUUUCUCACUUCCUGCCUGUAGUUCCCCUGAGCUACACUAACACACACAUCAGGUGUCAAAACAGUGAUGUGCCCCUAGUGUCCAGCUCCAGCCUUCCUCAGUGACUUGGUCCUGGCACACCUUGGAUGAGAGCCUGGGGAAAUACAAGGGACUGACUAAAGAUCCAACAAAGGAUGGCCGACAACAUAAAGCUGUGAAUGUCAAGCAAAAGACAAGUGGGACUUGGUGUGGCAGAAGUAUG